CCCGCGCACCUCGCUCCCCCUCCCGGCCGGCGCUCGCAGUGGCGCGCCUGCUCGCUCUCCCGCUACCCGACGAGUCCUCAACAAGUUGGAGGAAGGCAGGAACGCAGGGGUUAAGCUCGGAAAGCCGCAAUUACCAAGAUCGUGACCCUCCCACACAGUACAGUAACUUAUAUACUUACCUGGAAGAACCCGCUUUGCCGCCGGGCAAACACCCGUGGGGGGCGGGGAGGGGCCGGAGGGAGCGGGCCGGCAGGAGAGGGGCUGCUUCCAGCUGGCUGCAGUGCGGACGGGACCGGCGCGCUCCCGUGGCCCCCAGACCGAGGUGGUCAAACCUGUCCUGACACCCAGAGGUCUGCAUGAUGGG
rnacentral:lncRNA from 1 species